rnacentral:tRNA from 1 species
AACGGUAUAGCUCAAUGGUAGAGUGUGUGCUUAGCAUGCAUAAGGCCCUGGGAUCAAUCCCCAGUACCUUCA